rnacentral:lncRNA from 1 species
UGAAAACUGAAUUUUUGAUGCUAACAUUUAAACAUAUAUAUAUAUAUAUAGAAUCCAGGCAUUAGAACCAAGUACUAAAAUAAGUUUGGGAAAUAACAAUAACAUGCCAAAGUUGCGAAGUAAUUAAAGCGUCGGGAACUUCCAACUUUUAAAAACGAAUGCGAUAAACGUAGCGUAAUUGUUAAAUUAUACAACGCUCUAAUUAACACUUUCAUGAUGGGAGGAGAGACUGAAAUGUCCGACUACGCUACUUUUCCCAACACGACAGUAAAAUUAAUCAAUUUAGUUAACUUGGAAUUUAGUCCGGUACGCUUCAGUUACCGACCAAAACGAAGAAUUGUCAGUAAUUUACCUUAUCAGUUUAUCUAUAAAAAUUAUCCAGGCCCGAACAGUAACUCUGGUCCUUCCUUCGCAUUCUUGUCAAAUUUAAUUUAUAAUUAGUAAAAAUGGUGUAAAAAAAAAAAGAUGGCCGAAAGAAAAGAACGACAGAUCAGCCCAAAAUAGGACGUUAUGGAAUUCAACCUCUGGAUAUCGAUCUCAUAUAUCCUUAUCCCAUUUUUAACCGAUAAUCUCGUAUAUAACCACCGAUUACCAAUUGAUCGAUUAAAACCAUGAGAAAAUAGUGUUAAAAAAUAAAUAAAAGUUGGAAAUCUAAAUUUCAUCUUAUUGCCUUCACCUAUUUGCAUAUUCAUUUAUUUUAACACGUACCAUCUAAUUUGCAUUGACGUCAUCAACCCGGGUGGCUGGAUAGUGAAGAUCCAGGAUGAAAUCACCAAACAGCGCUUAACGUUAGCUAACCCAUGGUGGAAGAAGAAAGGUGGAGUAUUGCGC